GAGGGGAAAGGCUGCACAGAACCACACGGAGUCUGAAAGUGCUACAUUCAGAGUUGAAGAAACUUUAAGGAGUUCCUAAGGUCACCUUUGGCAGCAGAAGUGUGGUUGACAGCUCAUGAUCCAGAGCAGAAUGAUCUUCAAGUCCUGGCUUUAUUCCCUCCCGACUAUGUGGCUUAGGCAUGGAAGCUCUGUAGUCAGAAUGGGAGUCACUGAAAUAGAAGCAGCUUGCAUUCUUUGGUUACUGAAUGGAGAAGUGAUUCCCAGAAGAAACACCCAACCAGCAACUACCACAUUGGAUUUUGAAAAAUAAACAGCUACUAUGUAAAGCUA